GAGAUCAUGACUGAAUCAAAUGAUGCAGCAACACAUGGUUUGAGCUUCAGUAAAUUACCCAAGGUCUUGGAAGGCAAAAUCGGAAGCAGUUCGACAUGCCUUGACACGGCUUCUAGUCCUAAUGCUGUGGCCUCGAAAGAUUGUAAAUCUAACGAUCUAGACAAAAUUCUCGACCAGGGUUUCCAUAUAAAUGAAAGGGACGAGUUUCCCAGUUUUGAUCUUGGAUUUUGAAAAGAACCGGAGAUAACCCGUGUUGUAAUCUUCUAGAGACGAGAUUCUUCUCCAGGUUGUUCUCGUUUGAGCUCGCAGCCCUCCCAAACAAAUUUACUAGUAAGUUGUUUUGCAGUGCUCAAAUUCGUAAACGAUCAUACUUUUUUUAAUUCUCAUAUGUAUGACAGAAUGAGACUUAGAGUAUGUAGCAUGUAUGUAUGUAGAUUCAAGUUCUGAGUCCAGGCCCAUGGAACUUCGCUUGAAGUUCUUACUCGUUUCUUUGCAACAGUUAUAAAAAUGCCAUACAUAAAAUAACUUCUCAGUUGCGUCAUUUAGUUUUGGCCUCGGAGUUGGUUGCUUUUCUACGGUCAUGACUUUAAGUUUGAUUGGUAAUGUUAAUAUCGAACGAGUCAGAAUGAAUAAUAAGUUCGGAUUUUUUAAAUACUUGUGGCCAGAAAACGAAGCGUACUUCUUCAACCCAACGAUUAUAUUCAUAUACCUUUCAAUAGAAUAGAAAAAACAAAAUUGUAAAAGAA